UACGUAGGCAGCAAGCGUUGUUCGGAAUUACUGGGCGUAAAGAGUGUGUAGGCGGUGUUCUAAGUCUGUUGUGAAAUCUCGCGGCUUAACUGGGAGGGUGCGGCGGAAACUGGAAUGCUAGAGGAUGGGAGAGGUAAGCGGAAUUCCUGGUGUAGCGGUGAAAUGCGUAGAUAUCAGGAGGAACACCUGUGGUGUAGACAGCUUACUGGACCAUUUCUGACGCUGAGACACGAAAGCGUGGGUAGCAAACAGG
rnacentral:rRNA from 1 species